rnacentral:rRNA from 1 species
AACGAACGCUGGCGGCAUGCCUAACACAUGCAAGUCGAACGAGGUUUCCACUUCGGUGGUUUCCUAGUGGCGCACGGGUGAGUAACGCGUGGGAACCUGCCCUGUGGUACGGAAUAACUCCGGGAAACUGGAGCUAAUACCGUAUGUGUCCUGCGGGACAAAGAUUGCAUCGCCAUGGGAGGGCCGCGUAGAUUAGCUGGUUGGUGGGGUAACGGCCGUACCAAGGCUCCGAUCCUUAGCUGGUCNGAGAGGAUGAUCAGCCACACUGGGACUGAGACACGGCCCAGACUCCUACGGGGGCGA